GACCACGGCACCUUGCGCGAUGCCUGGCCGGGGCUCCUCCAGUAACACUGGCCCGCAGAAGGAAAGAACCCCGGCCUGGGAAUCUGCGCGGGACCGCCCGUGAUUGUCUCUGCCCUCUGCGCCCGGCCUGGGUUCAGCGCUUUCAGAGAGGGAGCCAGUGGAGAGGGUGCAGGCCGAGGUCCCCGAAGACCUGCCCCCGGAGCCGGGCACGGGGAACGGUCAAGUGGCCCUUGGCGCCGAGGAAGCCCCGCGAACUUGGGGCAGCUCAGACCGCCCAAGUCUCCCAGUCCUCGUGAGAAACAAGAGCAAAUAAAUUACUUUUGCCUCUA